UACGGAGGGUGCAAGCGUUACUCGGAAUCACUGGGCGUAAAGAGCGCGUAGGCGGUAUGUCAAGUCUGAUGUUAAAGCCCGGGGCUCAACUCCGGUUCGGCAUUGGAUACUGGCAAACUAGAAUGUGGUAGAGGUAAAGGGAAUUCCUGGUGUAGCGGUGAAAUGCGUAGAUAUCAGGAGGAACAUCGGUGGCGAAAGCGCUUUACUGGACCAUUAUUGACGCUGAGGAACGAAAGCCAGGGGAGCAAAUGGG
rnacentral:rRNA from 1 species